GUGUUUGUAGUUCAGUGGAUAGAGCGUUUGUUUCCUACACAGAAGGUCAUGGGUUCGACCCCUAGCUGAUGCG
rfam:Spinacia oleracea cultivar SynViroflay scaffold20396.con0001.1, whole genome shotgun sequence.